AUUGUAUAAACACAAGCAAUUGAAAAAAUCAAGGAGGUUGAACGUCGAACUAAAAGAACGAUAAACUAAUUGAAAAAGCAAUUUAGGGUUUCAAACUAAAAGCAAUUUAGUGUAUGAGGGUUGGACGUCGUCAAUGAAGGGGUUGGCAGAAAGCUCCUUGCGUGGUAAUUUCUCUCGUUCCGUCAACUAAAGGCGUAGAAGAAGGGCGUGAGGGCGAUAAAUCUAGUGUUCGAGCCUGGGUGACAGAGGUGUUAAGAACAACAAUUUAGGGUUUGAAGGUG
rnacentral:lncRNA from 1 species